AGAGUUUGAUCAUGGCUCAGGAUGAACGCUAGCUACAGGCUUAACACAUGCAAGUCGAGGGGAAACGACAUCGAAAGCUUGCUUUUGAUGGGCGUCGACCGGCGUACGGGUGAGUAACGCGUAUCCAACCUGCCCACCACUUGGGGAUAACCUUGCGAAAGUAAGACUAAUACCCAAUGAUAUCUCUAGAAGACAUCUGAAAGAGAUUAAAGAUUUAUCGGUGAUGGAUGGGGAUGCGUCUGAUUAGCUUGUUGGCGGGGUAACGGCCCACCAAGGCAACGAUCAGUAGGGGUUCUGAGAGGAAGGUCCCCCACAUUGGAACUGUUUUAGACACGGUCCAAACUCCUACGGGAGGCAGCA
rnacentral:rRNA from 1 species